AUUGAACGCUGGCGGAAUGCUUUACACAUGCAAGUCGAACGGCAGCACGGGGCAACCUGGUGGCGAGUGGCGAACGGGUGAGUAAUACAUCGGAACGUGCCCAAUCGUGGGGGAUAACGUAGCGAAAGUUACGCUAAUACCGCAUACGAUCUACGGAUGAAAGCGGGGGAUCGCAAGACCUCGCGCGAAUGGAGCGGCCGAUGUCAGAUUAGGUAGUUGGUGGGGUAAAGGCUCACCAAGCCAACGAUCUGUAGCUGGUCUGAGAGGACGACCAGCCACACUGGGACUGAGACACGGCCCAGACUCCUACGGGAGGCAGCAGUGGGGAAUUUUGGACAAUGGGGGGCAACCCUGAUCCAGCCAUGCCGCGUGAGUGAAGAAGGCCUCGGUUGUAAGCUCUUUCUAGACGGAAAGAAAUACGCACAGGUUAAUACCUUAGUGUGGAUGACGGUACCGUAAGAAGAAGCACCGGCUAACUACGUGCCAGCAGCCGCGGUAA
rnacentral:rRNA from 1 species